CCCACAUGCAUGCUCUCUCUCAAAAUAAAUAAGUAAACUUAAAAAAUUUUUUUUUGUAAUUUUAAAUAAAUAAGUAAACAUAAAAAGAAAGAAAAUGUACACAUGAUGUAAGAUCAAUCACACCCCUCUUCUUGAAGCUUUCUCUGCCUUGAAGUUCUUGCCCCCAUGUUCUCAGCUUGCCCUCCUAUCUCUGCUUGUUCUGUGGCUUAGACACAUCCCCACUCUGCUGGGCCCUGUGAUGUUGGGCUCCUCCAGACGCCAUCCUUAGCUCUCUCUCUGUUCCUCUUCUCUUUCUUACACUUGAGGAACUUCUCACAUGUCUUGGCUUCACCAGACUCCCAAAUUCCAGAUAUUCAGCUUCUUACCUGGUUGCCCCACGUGCACCUUAUGUUCACUAUGCCUAAAGUGUAGCUCAUAAUCUUUCCUCUACACCCCUUCUUCCUGCUACAUUUCUCAUUUUGGUAACUGAUGCUCAGAAAUAUGCUAUUUCUUCCACAAAAUAAUUUGUGAUAAGUGAACCGAUAGUUAUGAUUUAUUGAACACCUACUGUGAGCUAACACUGACAUAGCCCUGUAUGACUUCAAUCCAGGGCACAGAGAAGUGAAGAAGCCUGUCCUGAUGGUACAGACGUGUGGUGGCUGUUCCCCUCUGCAGUCUAGUGAUCCAGCCCCGUGUUCUGCCUGCGCUCUGCCUUUGCUGUGCCUGGAAUCCCUCCCAGCUUUUCCAUUCCUCCUGCCAGGCCUCCAUCUGUCCCCACUUAGAUUGACCAGCACUUUCCAACCUGUCCUCUGUCUCAGCCUCCUUUCAGUGUGCUUUCCAGACUGCUUAGAUAGGAGUUUGCUAAGAUGUAAAUCUCAUCGUCUCUUACUUUGAAGCCCUUCAAGGUCUCCCAUAGCUUUCUAGGGAUACCUUAUGAAGUCUAGCAACAAAGCAAACACCCAAGGACUCUCCACCCACUCAAGACUAGAACACUUCAGUGUUAUUAUGACAUUAUUGAUUUGCAAGGUUUUUGUUGUUUAAUAAUAUGAUGACUA